rnacentral:rRNA from 1 species
CCUGACUGCUAUCGGAAUGAUACUAAGCCAUGCGAGUCAUUGUAGCAAUACAAGGCUUACGGCUCAGUAACGCGUAGUCAACCUAACCUAUGGACGGGAAUAACCUCGGGAAACUGAGAAUAAUGCCCGAUAGAACACUAUACCUGGAAUGGUUUGUGUUCCAAAUGAUUUAUCGCCAUAGGAUGGGACUGCGGCCUAUCAGUUUGUUGGUGAGGUAAUGGCCCACCAAGACUAUUACAGGUACGGGCUCUGAGAGGAGUAGCCCGGAGAUGGGUACUGAGACACGGACCCAGGCCCUAUGGGGCGCAGCAGGCGAGAAAACUUUGCAAUGUGCGAAAGCACGACAAGGUUAAUCCGAGUGAUUUGUGCUAAACGAAUCUUUUGUUAGUCCUAGAAACACUAACGAAUAAGGGGUGGGCAAGUUCUGGUGUCAGCCGCCGCGGUAAAACCAGCACCUCAAGUGGUCAGGAUGAUUAUUGGGCCUAAAGCAUCCGUAGCCGGCUCUGUAAGUUUUCGGUUAAAUCUGUACGCUUAACGUACAGGCUGCCGGGAAUACUGCAGAGCUAGGGAGUGGGAGAGGUAGACGGUACUCGGUAGGAAGUGGUAAAAUGCUUUGAUCUAUCGAUGACCACCUGUGGCGAAGGCGGUCUACCAGAACACGUCCGACGGUGAGGGAUGAAAGCUGGGGGAGCAAACCGGAUUAGAUACCCGGGUAGUCCCAGCUGUAAACUAUGCAAACUCAGUGAUGCAUUGGCUUGUGGCCAAUGCAGUGCUGCAGGGAAGCCGUUAAGUUUGCCGCCUGGGAAGUACGUACGCAAGUAUGAAACUUAAAGGAAUUGGCGGGGGAGCACCACAAGGGGUGAAGCCCGCGGUUC